rnacentral:lncRNA from 1 species
UUUCGCUUUAUGGCGUGCUCGUUUGGGUUGGGCGUUGGCUAAGAGUGCUCGGAGUGUGGAUUAACUCCAGUCUCCAAUCAGGUGUGUAUUUUCUCGCUACUCUAGCUGUAGGAUGGCUACUUCGGGCCACGAUGGGCUGAAAGGGGUCAUGUGGGCCCAAUGGGCCUACGGGCCCAAUUGGAUAAGUUAUUUGAUUGUGUAGUAAAUAUUGGACUAGGUUAGGUGAAUCUCAUAUUUGUGGCUAGAUUUGGGCUAAAAGGGCCACACGAGCGUGUGGCCCAUUUAGGCUGAGAAUAGGCUUUAGGCCCAUUCGUAUUGUUAUCCCUGUUUAGAAUACUUUAGUUUACCAAAUUACUGAAAUGCCCUCAAUUUGUAAAAUUACCAAAGUACCCUCAAUUUAUAGAAUUACUGUUUUACCCUCGAUUUAUAGAAUUACUAUUUUACCCUCGAUUUAUAGAAUUACCGUUUUAUUCUCGAUUUACAGAAUUACCAUUUUACCUUCGAUUUAUAGAAUUACCAUUUUACCCUCGAUUUAUAGAAUUACCAUUUUACCCUCAAUUUACAAAAUUACCGUUUUACUCUCGAUUUACAAAAUUAUCGUUUUACCCUCGAUUUACAAAAUUACUAAAAUACCCUUAAUUUACAAAAUUACCAAAAUACCCCUGAUUUUAGAAAUUAUCGAAAUAAUCUAAAUUUGUAAAAUAUCAAAAUACCCCUGUAGGGUAGAAUUACCGAAAUACCCUUGUAGGGUAGAAUUACCAAAAUACCCUUGUAGGGUAGAAAUACUGAAAUACCCCUAUAGGAUAGAAUUACUGAAAUAACCCUGUAGGGUAGAAUUACCGAAAUACCCCUAUAGGGUAGAAUUACCGAAAUACCCCUGUAGGGUAAAAUUACUGAAAUAACCCUGUAGGGUAGAAUUACUGAAAUACCCCUGUAGGAUAGAAUUAUCGAAAUACCCUUGUCGGGUAGAAAUACUGAAAUACCCCUGUAGGGUAGAAUUACUGAGAUACCCUUGUGGGGUAAAAUUACCAUUUUGCCCCUAAGGUGUUAAACGACUGUUUUGCCCUUGUGGGCAAGUGACUGCCUUGGACUGUGUGGUUGGCGAAUUUGAUUGUGAAUAUAUGUUGGUGAUAUGAAUGACUUGACUGUGAUUGUUUGAUUCAAAUAUGGGCAUUACAUUCUGCAUUCAUGACAUGUUGCAUGGGUUGGGUUUUAUAAAUAUAGGAAGUGCUAAAAGGGCUAUGCCGCAGUUUACCGAAAAGGGCUUUGCCCCAGUUUAUCAAAAAGGGCUUUGCCCCAGUUAUUAAAAGGGGCUAGGCCUCUAGUUAUAAGAUAAAGCAGCUAUGCUGCCAGUGGAGAGCUUGGUUGGUACGGGUGGAGAGUAGCAAAUGGUGGGUUGAGUAGUCUCCCCAAAUGGCCUUGCAUACAUUCAUUGGUAUUUCAUGUGAUAUUAAAAUAGGCCUAUGGGCCAUACCGUUUACAGUAAAGGCUUUGGCCCAGUGAUAUGAUUUAUGAAAAGGCUUCGGCCUAGUAACCGUUAAACGAAAGGCUUCGGCCCAGUAAAUGUCGAGACUAAAUAGGGCUUUGGCCCAGAUUGCACUGGAACCGUGUUAUUCACUGUUUGUUUGUUAUUGGGAUUACACACUGAGUUUUUGUAAACUCACCCCGUUUCUAACUGUGCAGGUGAUCCCUAAGCUUAGAUGGUUUGGAGCUGCGAGGGACUCGAAGAUGGCCACACUACUUUUUCUGUUUCUUUUAAUUGCAAUUAGAUUUCAUUUUGGGUUUUUAAUUUAUGUAAUAAGGCCGUUGGUGGGUUUUAAGUUUUAAUUUGGAUUGUGAUUUCUUAUGCUAAACUGCUAGUCUAGGAAAACUCGAGAUUUCAAAAUGGCAUGAUUUUUUUAAGGAACCCGAGCUUCCAACAACAAAGUUUUCAAAAUGCUUCCGCGAUUUUAAAUGAGGUAAUAUACCAAAGGCAAACAAAUUGGUAAACGUUUUGAUGAGAACUUUAGUUUAAUAAUAAUAAAGGAAUUUAGAUUCAGUAAUGGAUUUUUACCGGAAAGAUCAAAUUUGAAAAAUGGUUUGAUGUGACGCACCAGAUUCGGCCAUAACGUCUAGGCCGAGUUUGGGGUGUUACACCAAGUCUACUCUUAUUUGGAAUAGGCCACUCUUGAGGGUUUAGAAGCAUUUUAAAGCGUAUAUAAAAACCCCAAGAAGUACCAAAAAGGGACACACGGAGUAGGAGGCAAUGAAUUACUCAAUGGAAGCCGAUUGAUCCAUCUUAGAAGCCGGAUUCACCUUCAAGACUGAAGAUCUCCCUUCAAUUCCCUUCAAGAGUUCUUGGGUUUUCUUUAUGUUUUGUUAUCAUUAUUCUUUAGAGAUGUUUUCUUUCAUAAAUAUGAACUAAACCCCCUAAAUAUCUAAGGGGAAUGAAACCUAAG